rnacentral:rRNA from 1 species
AGCUUGCUGGGGGGAUUAGUGGCGAACGGGUGAGUAACACGUGAGUAACCUGCCCUUAACUCUGGGAUAAGCCUGGGAAACUGGGUCUAAUACCGGAUAUGACUCCUCAUCGCAUGGUGGGGGGUGGAAAGCUUUUGUGGUUUUGGAUGGACUCGCGGCCUAUCAGCUUGUUGGUGAGGUAAUGGCUCACCAAGGCGACGACGGGUAGCCGGCCUGAGAGGGUGACCGGCCACACUGGGACUGAGACACGGCCCAGACUCCUACGGGAGGCAGCAGUGGGGAAUAUUGCACAAUGGGCGCAAGCCUGAUGCAGCGACGCCGCGUGAGGGAUGACGGCCUUCGGGUUGUAAACCUCUUUCAGUAGGGAAGAAGCGAAAGUGACGGUACCUGCAGAAGAAGCGCCGGCUAACUACGUGCCAGCAGCCGCGGUAAUACGUAGGGCGCAAGCGUUAUCCGGAAUUAUUGGGCGUAAAGAGCUCGUAGGCGGUUUGUCGCGUCUGCCGUGAAAGUCCGGGGCUCAACUCCGGAUCUGCGGUGGGUACGGGCAGACUAGAGUGAUGUAGGGGAGACUGGAAUUCCUGGUGUAGCGGUGAAAUGCGCAGAUAUCAGGAGGAACACCGAUGGCGAAGGCAGGUCUCUGGGCAUUAACUGACGCUGAGGAGCGAAAGCAUGGGGAGCGAACAGGAUUAGAUACCCUGGUAGUCCAUGCCGUAAACGUUGGGCACUAGGUGUGGGGGACAUUCCACGUUUUCCGCGCCGUAGCUAACGCAUUAAGUGCCCCGCCUGGGGAGUACGGCCGC